AGCGUACGCAGGCGGUCUGUUAAGUCAGAUGUGAAAUCCCCGGGCUUAACCUGGGAACUGCAUUUGAAACUGGCAGGCUAGAGUCUCGUAGAGGGGGGUAGAAUUCCAGGUGUAGCGGUGAAAUGCGUAGAGAUCUGGAGGAAUACCGGUGGCGAAGGCGGCCCCCUGGACGAAGACUGACGCUCAGGUACGAAAGCGUGGGGAGCAAACAGGAUUAGAUACCCUGGUAGUCCACGCUGUAAACGAUGUCGAUUUGAAGGUUGUGGUCUUGAGCCGUGGCUUUCGGAGCUAACGCGUUAAAUCGACCGCCUGGGGAGUACGGCCGCAAGGUUAAAACUCAAAUGAAUUGACGGGGGCCCGCACAAGCGGUGGAGCAUGUGGUUUAAUUCGAUGCAACGCGAAGAACCUUACCUACUCUUGACAUCCAGAGAACUGAGCAGAGAUGCUUAGGUGCCUUCGGGAACUGUGAGACAGGUGCUGCAUGGCUGUCGUCAGCUCGUGUUGUGAAAUGUUGGGUUAAGUCCCGCAACGAGCGCAACCCUUAUCCUUUGUUGCCAGCGAUUCGGUCGGGAACUCAAAGGAGACUGCCGGUGAUAAACCGGAGGAAGGUGGGGAUGACGUCAAGUCAUCAUGGCCCUUACGAGUAGGGCUACACACGUGCUACAAUGGCGCAUACAAAGAGAAGCGAUCUCGCGAGAGUCAGCGGACCUCAUAAAGUGCGUCGUAGUCCGGAUUGGAGUCUGCAACUCGACUCCAUGAAGUCGGAAUCGCUAGUAAUCGUGGAUCAGAAUGCCACGGUGAAUACGUUCUCGGGCCUUGUACACACCGCCCGUCACACCAUGGGAGUGGGUUGCAAAAGAAGUAGGUAGCUUAACCUUAGGGAGGGCGUUUACCACUUUGUGAUUCAUGACUGGGGUGAAGUCGUAACAAGGUAACC
rnacentral:rRNA from 1 species